rnacentral:rRNA from 1 species
CCUACGGGGGGCAGCAGUGGGGAAUAUUGGGCAAUGGGCGCAAGCCUGACCCAGCAACGCCGCGUGAAGGAAGAAGGCUUUCGGGUUGUAAACCUCUUUUGUCAGGGAGCAAAGGCGUCCACGUGUGGACGAGAGGAGAGUACCUGAAGAAAAAGCAUCGGCUAACUCCGUGCCAGCAGCCGCGGUAAUACGGAGGAUGCGAGCGUUAUCCGGAUUUAUUGGGUUUAAAGGGUGCGUAGGCGGAGUGUCAAGUCAGCGGUAAAAUUUCGGGGCUCAACCCCGUCGUGCCGUUGAAACUGACGCCC